GACGAACGCUGGCGGCGUGCUUAACACAUGCAAGUCGAACGGAAAGGCCCUGCUUUUGUGGGGUGCUCGAGUGGCGAACGGGUGAGUAACACGUGAGUAACCUGCCCUUGACUUUGGGAUAACUUCAGGAAACUGGGGCUAAUACCGGAUAGGAGCUCCUGCUGCAUGGUGGGGGUUGGAAAGUUUCGGCGGUUGGGGAUGGACUCGCGGCUUAUCAGCUUGUUGGUGGGGUAGUGGCUUACCAAGGCUUUGACGAGUAGCCGGCCUGAGAGGGUGACCGGCCACAUUGGGACUGAGAUACGGCCCAGACUCCUACGGGAGGCAGCAGUGGGGAAUAUUGCACAAUGGGCGGAAGCCUGAUGCAGCAACGCCGCGUGCGGGAUGACGGCCUUCGGGUUGUAAACCGCUUUCGCCUGUGACGAAGCGUGAGUGACGGUAAUGGGUAAAGAAGCACCGGCUAACCACGUG
rnacentral:rRNA from 1 species